UGGUGCAUUGGAAGAGAUUUUUUGCUGCUCGUUCAGCAGAGGUCUCUCUGCCGUGCUCGACCGACUGAUGCGAUUAUUUUUUGUUUACAUGAAAUGCGCAACAGUUGCGAUAAUAAUUUGGAAACAGUACAGUAAGAAAAACAAAAGGAUGCAGAUGAGUUAUGUUGGAUAAGAGCAGCAUCCAGUUUUAUUUGCAGAGUGCAAAACUGAUUUCAAUAGCUGAUAUGUGAUAAACAGAACAUUCCAUUUUGUGUGCUUCGGUGUCAAACGCCAAAUACCAUGACAUUUUCGUUCACUUCCCACUUCCAUCGUUUGGCGGAUAAUUAACAACAAUCGAUUGUUGGAGCCUUUGGAAACCAUUGAAAACCAACUACUGCACGCAAUCACAUAUUUUUGAGAAAGUAUCUGCUCGUUUUUGCACUAUCACUGUUAUUUUUUUUUUGCGAGAAUGUGAAAGAGACGAAAGAUAAGCCGACGGCGAUUAUUUGUUCCAACAGGUUAUUCUCUCGUCCGUUUUCUUUGCACCUUAACAGAUUAUCAGAUUUUUUUUCAAGACCAUGACAUUCACACAACCAUCAAUUCCUACAUGUUUGGCCCAUCUUAUCCUAGCUGGAGUCACGGGAUGGUCGCUAAAGCAUCUACCCGUUUGUUACGAGCAAAGUUCUUCUUGUGGAUACAAUGAAUGCCACUUUGUACCACUCAUGCUGAUCCUGUUAAUUUUUCUGCUAUGUCACAGUUUACUGGGAAUUUUUCGUUACAGCCAUCCGGAGCCCCACAAAAAUCUGCGGAAAAUGUAUGAUUUCUCUGCUUUGCUGGUCAUGAAUUUUCCAUUGCCGUUGCUGAACACACAACUUUAUUUCAAAUACCGAAUGGGUAAUGGUUCUAUUCUGACCCCCUACAGUUAUUUGUUGAUUAGUAUAUUGGUACCAUUCCUGUCCACGUGUAUAUAUUCGGAACUAAGUCAACGACAUAAAAGGCAGCACAUAGCCACUUUGGUUACUCUUGUCAGCUUGACUGUGCUUUCGUGGAUAUCAUUUUCCAACGAUAAUUUUUGGGGCUUCGGCUUAGCUCUAUCAUAUGGUAUGAAAUAUUUUGCCUUACCCAGAUUGGCCGAACGUUAUAGUGUCCCAUUUGUCGAUCUGCACACUUACGGAUUGGGAUUCUUUGAGGUUUUUGCAAUCAAUGCUGUAAUAGAUGCUGACCUUUAUCGAACUGAGCUAAUUAUUCAAUAAAGAAGCGUACAUCAAUCAGAUUAUGAUAGAGCUAGCACUAAACACAACAGCAAACUGCUUAUUCCAGAUACUUUUUAUACUAGUGAAUAUAAAUAAGGAAAUUUGUUAUAUAUUUUUAUACAUGUUUAUUAUUUCUGAGAAGAUUAGUGUGUAGAAUGCUUAAUAGCUUGAAAACAAUUUUUCAUAUAUAGCUACUUAUACUAAACUAGAUAAUCAAAAGAGAAAAAGCCUAACAUAUAUAAAACUGAAACAAAACGAGUAGAAAUUAGUAGCUUUUUACAAAGUUCUAUAUUCAUAUACAAUGUUUAUAUAUUAGUACAAUAUAAUACAUUUUCAUAAUAUUUUUGCAAGCAAUUAAAUUUUGCACAGAAUUUUAAA